CACAAGUAAGGUAAAUGAUGCUCUAGAACAAGAGGACUCGUUCGUCCUUACCGAUGGCCAGGGAAACCAGAUCUUGGACACAGAGGGAACCAGAGGAUCUGUGUUUUGGAAGCAAAAUGCAAGGAAGGUUUGUGCUGUGAAGGAAAGAGAUUUGCAGCAGUUACAAGGAAGCAAAAAGAGGAGACUGAGUCGGCGAGAUGAUAAUGGCCUGGAUACAGUGUUUGAUACAAUUGAAGAGGUGGUCCUGGCAGCAGAGGGUCUUCGGGAGGUGUCAACUACAAUCAAAGAGCUGACAAACCUG